ACCAGAUGCCCCAUGCGAUGCAGCAGCCGCAUCCUUAUGAUCAACAAAUACCGAUGUACUACAUGCAGAUGAGGCCAAACCAGCCUUACAACAUUGCUCCUAUGCAGCCCAAUUUGGUUGAUGCUACUAUCGUGGCUGCUGCAGCUUCCACUGCCACCACAGUCCCAGCCAAGCAGGCUGCGGCGCACCUUAAAGCCCCUGCUAGGACUGAG
rnacentral:misc_RNA from 1 species